GAAGACAUAUUUUCUUUCAGUUGGACAAGAAAACAUCGUACAGAUACAUACGGUGUAGUAGAUUAAAGUAUAUAUUUGCAUAUUUCAAUACACGUAUCAGCUUCAUGAGCGACAAUAACAUUCUACGCGUGAAAUGGAGUCUGCUUACAGUCGGUUCGAUUCAUAUGACUUCGAGGUGGAUCCGAAUUUCCAGAGUGGUUUGAAAAAUCUUCAGGCUUCCAGCGAGGAAACUGUUUUGGGGAUUAAAUUAUUAUUUUACAAUCGAUUCGUCGAGCCCAUUGACUUGGAUGGGUACAAACAAUGGCGUGUAAGUUCUACUGCCCUGUCCUCGACAUCCUCCAUGGGUGACAACAUUGAACAGUUGGAGAAGUUUGACCACUUGACUAUUGCAGAUUCAAAUUCUGAUAUUUGUGAAAGUACCACUGGUGGAACCUCAGCGAACACAGAUGCAGCCCUUUCAUUCGAGGAAGUGUUCCGGCUAGUCCAAGCAGGAGAGGAGGUCCCAGGCCUGUCAAAGCUGGACAUAAAACCUAAUAACCAAACUCCAACUCCCUCGCAGAUGGAGAGGAGGACAAAACCCUGGGAGAAGUCUAAGACACACAUGUGACUUGUACACAUUACCUUUUCCCUCACUGUCCACCUUUGAAGAAAAGUUCAUUUUGACCAGCUGUUAAUAUCCUCUAAACUUGCAAUAAAAACAUUUUUUGUUGUUGCUUUUCA